UCCAGCCGUCGACCGAGCUGCUUGCGCCGAUCCCUGCACCCGCCCGCCUUCUUCCCGACAACCUAGGCCCCACCCUAGGUGCGGCGAUGGGUGCCGGGGCGCGGGCGACGGCGGCGGCGCUCGCGAGGGCGGACGCCGGCGACGACAUCAUCCACCAGGACGUCGACGCGACCAAGAUCUCGUACGCCCCAUCCUCCUCCUUCCUGCCUUUCCCGAGCGAGUGGAGCGGCCGGCCCGGUUCCUGAUUUCGAGCCCAUGGCCGGGUGGCCGGCGGAGCUCUGUUCUGGCCAGGCGCGCGACCCUGGAGCCUCCCGAUUCUGAACCCGUGGCCGGGUGUCCGGCGGAGCUCCGUUCUGGCUGGGCGCGCGACCCCGGAGCCUCCCGAUUUUGAGCCCGUGGCCGGGUGGCCGGCGGAGCUCCGUUCUGGCCGGGCGCGCGACCCCAGAGCCUCCCGAUUUCGAGCCCGUGCCCGUCUCCUCCCGGUCAUCUCUCCUCCUGCUUGUCUUUCUCCCAACAACUGGCCGUCUUCAUCUCUCCCAGCGACAGAAGGAGGAACGACCAUCUUGCCGCGGACACAUUCAGGCAAAGGAAGGAGGAGCGGUCGUCCUGUCGUAGGCACAUCUGAGCGGCAGAAGCUGCUUGCUGUGCAUCGGCAGCGGCUAAGGAUGAGUGAAGCAGCGGCCAUCCCAUCGCAGGCACAUGCGGAAGCUGCUUACAGCGCGGCGGCGGCGGCCAAGGAGGAGUGCAGCAGCGACCAAUUGUGGCGGAGCUGCGGCAGUGGAAGGAGCUGCAGCGACCAUGGGCUGUGGCCGUGGCUCGUGGCUGGCCGAGUGGCGGCCUCACCUGUAGCAGCGGUGUACACUUAUAUUGUACUGCAGAGGAAUUGGCAUGCGACGGCUUUGUCAAAGUGAACCAGGCUCUCUCGUGCUCCCUCUUGCAAUAUAUGCUUGUUCACGCCUUUACAAUUUGUGCAUACCCCACCAUUCAUUGAGAAUUCUUUCUUGGUUUGUUUGUAAAUAGAUUGUGUACAGAUAAAUUGUAGGUGAUGAAAAAAAAUGUUGUUUUGAUACUUAAAUAAAAUACUUUCAAAAUACAGUUAAUGUUGCAUAUAUUAUAGGAAAAGCAAACACUAAUUUGAAAAAAUUCAUUCCAUUCCAUUCCACCAACUAAACAUGAAGAUGUAACCGUUCCAUUCCACCUCACUGAUCAUACCAAAAACAGAGAUGGAACUAUUCCAUUCUUGUGGAAUGGAACCAUUACAUUUCAUUCCACUUGGUUCUUCAAGUAAACAAACCCUAAAGGGCGACUCGAAACCAGCAGCGGGACAGGAAUCAUGUGAAAACGCUGAUUCGGUGAAAAUUUGGAAACUCAACUCGUGGGCCAUCGGAUCAAUAAGGAGCGCACAGAUGAGAGGGUGGGCUUGCUAAUCACCUGGUUGUACUUUUACACGGGACUGAUUGUAUUUUUAUGAGGGGGCACAAUUGCAAGGACAUGAUCGUAAAAUCAUUGGGGGGCUGCUUGUAUUUUUAUAAGGGGGAUAUUAUUCUUUUUAGCAGUUCAUCACACCGUCGUGUUACUAUUAUUGAACUGAUGAAUUCGAGCGGUUUGUACAAAUGCUAUCAUUUCAUUGAACUGAUCGUUUUUAUUAAAAGAGUAAAUAGGAGCUCCCUCCCGCUCUCUUCCAUUUCCGUUGGCCACUCCAGUGUCGGCCGAGCUGCUCGCGGCCGAUCCCUCCACCUUCCCGCCUCCCUCCCGGCAACCUAGGCCCCACCGUAGGCGCGACGAUGGGUGCCGGGGCGCGAUCGACGACAGCGGCGCUCACGGUGGCACUCGUACUAAUCUUUGUGUGUGUAUGUACACAGGAGGUAUUUUUAAUAGAGAAAUUUUGAAUGAUUCCAAAAAAGUAGUUGAACUGAUGUCCGUAUAGGUAUAGUUUUGUACUGAUUGUGUUUUUGCAGACUAGACUUUACUCUCUUUUUUUGGUACGGCUUUUCCUCGUAACUUUUCAAUGGUUUACGGUAUUCAUAGUCCUCGAACUUGCAUGGUUUAUAUCACUGAACUGAAUGAUAUUUUUCGAAAAGAAAAUGUUUUAUGUGUUUCCUUUUUUUAAACUCAUUUUUUUUUGCAACGAUGUUUUGGACUUCUCGCGUUUUGCAACUUGAACUUUUACCAUUUUUUUGAAUUUUUGUGGGUUUUUCUUUUGUUUGAGUUUUUCCCCAAACUUAUCUGAGUCAUCAUGUUUGAAGAUACCACUUUUGUAGUUGUGAACUUGUGGUUUUUUCCCUUUAUUAAGUUGCUUUUUUUCCUCCGAACUUUUACUGCUACAAUUGUUUUUGCAAAUUUAUUGUCCGUUGAGUCAGAAGUGAUGCAGUUUUUAAUUUAUGGUACUUACGGUACUAGAGAGUUUGUACUUCUUAAAAAAUAAUCACUCGAUGUUCUUUUAUUUUUAUUUUUUUAAUUUCCUUUCGCCUUACUGACGGUGUCAUCACCAUCGUACCUUUAUAGUUUAUAUAGUUGAAUGGACUUACAUUUUUACCAUUUCCUUCUUUUUAAAAACUUAUAGUACUAAUUGUUUGUUGCACUAUAUUUUAUAGUACCAAUUGUACUCAACUUAACUAAUUUCGCACUGGAAUUUAAUACUUCAUACAUACACAUUAAGUAAUGCAAACAUAGAAAACUCAAAAAAAUUGCAGUCUAUAAAAUAUAGGAAACCCCAAUUUUUCUAAUGAGUGCACUUGCGUGGAGUUACCUACUGAACUUCUAAGCUAGCGUUUGUUCUCCGGUUUUCUUUACCCAACCAAUUUCCUGUUUUUUAAUAAGCGAACUGAUGGAAAACUUGAUGGUGCACUUCCGUAUUUUGUUCAAGGUAAACUGAUGCACUUGCAAAGUUGACUUAUUAUGUUCCUUUUUAAUACUAAAUUGAUGUUUGUUCACAAAAUGAAAAGAUUAAAGGAGGGAGCAGCAACAUUGCAUCGUGGCAGCCGCUGGAACCAGAUCAAGGUUGUGGGAGGAGGAGGGGUGGAGGGACGACAGCCGGCGAUGGAAGCGAGGCGGAGGUUCUCGACCGCGGUUGAUGGAUGCACGGGGGCGUUGGGCUGGUGACGGAUGUACAAGAAGAACUAGAGAUAUAUGGUAGAUCAAAUACGGCAUAAAAGUGCAGAUCAAACGGUUUGUCGGAUGGGGUCAAUGUACAAAUUCAUGUAAAAAGAACCAGGCAAGUUAAUGUUCAGUAACAUUAGAAGUUCCCAAACAAACCUAACAAAGAUUUCUGUACUUUGAAAUACUUCAUUUU
rnacentral:lncRNA from 1 species